UACAAAUACAGAGACAAAUGUCACUUUGGAGGAUGUACUUUUCGUAACAAUCACAAGCCAAAAACUCAUCCAAGGUUGUUUCCCAACCAAAAGCUUUCUCUAGAAGUAAUCUCUUUAAGGGUCUUGGUGGACAGGACAAGACUGAAAAUGGGACUCCUAGGUCCAGACUCCUCCCUCAGGAAUGAAAGACAACAUCCAUUACAUUGUUGGGAAGAAUAAAACAAAUACUUUUUU
rnacentral:lncRNA from 1 species